AUGUGUUUAUAUUUACAUGGUACAUUUUAAAGCAAUGGCUACAUUGGUCAUACAUAUUAGAAACCAUAAAAAAAAGUUAAGAACUAAAAUGUACAUCAUACACUUGUAUAUAUAUUUUUUACACAGAGGUAAAAAGGCUUAUUAUAAAAAAAUCAAUACAACAGGGUUUUUAGUAUACAGGUAAAGAAUGAAUUAUGCUUCAGGCACUUUGUUAAUGUGAGCAAAUAGCUUGGGGGGGGGGUUGGUCAGAGGAAGCUUCCAAACAAAUCUUUUGGUUAAUGUUUUGUUACCACAGAUACAAAAAUAAAAUCUGAAUAAUUUCUCUCAAAUGAUUGACGUCAGUAUGGCAAAGCUGACUGGGAAAAUAACUACACACUGUUCAGCUGCAGUGUGGCAAUUAGAGACGUAUUUACAUCAAUGUCCCUAUGGCUGUCCUUGUGCCCUUAACCGCUCGCUGCCUUCACAGACCAAAACGUAUAGGCGGAGUAAGAUUCACUAGCAUAACUCUUCAAAGGGGUGGAACAGAACAAGGGGUAAGUAACCACUAGACAGGGGCUACAAACAAAACGCGGCAGGAUAUGUGUGUUCCUAGUGAAAUAAAUAGGGGCACUUGAACUGAGGUCUAACAAACCUACAUUAGUGUUGUGCUUUGUAGAGAGGAGAGACCUUGAGAAAGGCCCUGAGGAAAUGCCUCAGGACGGGGGACUUGGUGGGGGUGGGGGCUGGUCUCUUGACAGGGUCUGGAGGCUGGCUGGAGGUCUUCUACAUGUUCUCCAGGCUGGGAAGCAGUUCUCGUUUCUUCCAUCACCAGACUGAGCGCUCUGCUCCUUUUCCAAGCAGGAAGACCCAAACCAGUCACUCCAACAAAGGAAAAACGUCUACCAACUAACUCUUAAGCACACGGAGUAUUUACACCGAUGAUCUGACUAAAGAAAUGUGAUGGCCGCUCAGAUGAGCUGAAAACAUUCCAUGAAGGAACCCGAUGCUCCUUAGCGACCAGCAAGCUGAGCCAAGAGAAAGAGCGUCUGGGAAAAACCAACUAUAAACCCCACCCCAAACCGGCAGUUCCGACUACAGGCGCCUUUGCAAUGGAAGAGCCUGGUGGCCACAUCACCCUCCAUGGGCACCAGUCCACGUCCCACAGUUUGGGAACCUGCUCCGCAAAACAGCCACUCGGUAAAUAUUUGUUGAAUUACUGAAUUCCAGACUCCAGCUACAUCUCCCCAAGCAAGCCUGGGCCUGCAGCCUGCGAUGCCAGGGUGCCCGAGCCAAGCGGACAGCAUUCUUUAGUCCUGACCCUGGCUCUGGGCUUGCACACCAAGCCAGGAAGCCAUGUGCACAGAGGAACUCAGGAGGCAGCACAGCACUCUGGGUGGUUAUAGAUCAGCCAGAACGAUAAAGCCAAGAGCUCUUCCCCAGGUCCGGCUGUGCAAGCGCACGCCGUGUGCAAGACCCCAGCUGCAGGGGCGCGGACGCAGCACGGGCUCCGCGUCACACGCAGGACGACAGGCUCCCGG